rnacentral:rRNA from 1 species
AAGUUUGACAUUACCACCUUCUAGACUGAUCUCAUCAGAUCUUAGAAGCUAAAGAAGGGUGAGGCUGAUCAAUACUGGGAUGGGAGACCUCGAAGGAAAACCAAGUUGUGGAGCUGG